rnacentral:rRNA from 1 species
UACGUAGGGUGCAAGCGUUAAUCGGAAUUACUGGGCGUAAAGCGUGCGCAGGCGGUUGUGCAAGACCGAUGUGAAAUCCCCGGGCUUAACCUGGGAAUGGCAUUGGUGACUGCACGGCUAGAGUGUGUCAGAGGGGGGUAGAAUUCCACGUGUAGCAGUGAAAUGCGUAGAGAUGUGGAGGAAUACCGAUGGCGAAGGCAGCCCCCCUGGGAUAACACUGACGCUCAGGCACGAAAGCGUGGGGAGCAAACAGG